AUACUUACCUGGCAAGGGAGAUACUGUGAUCAAGAAGGCGGUUCAGAGCGAGGCUCAGCCAUUGCACUCCGGCUGUGCUGACCCCUGCGAAUUUCCCAAAUGUGGAAAUCUCGAUUGCAGAAUUUCUGGUAGUGGGGGACUGCGUUCGCGCUCUCCCCUG
rnacentral:snRNA from 1 species